rnacentral:rRNA from 1 species
ACACUCCUGCGGGAGGCAGCAGUGGGGAAUUUUGGACAAUGGGCGAAAGCCUGAUCCAGCAAUGCCGCGUGAGUGAAGAAGGCCUUCGGGUUGUAAAGCUCUUUUGUCAGGGAAGAAACGGUGAAAGCUAAUAUCUUUUGCUAAUGACGGUACCUGAAGAAUAAGCACCGGCUAACUACGUGCCAGCAGCCGCGGUAAUACGUAGGGUGCAAGCGUUAAUCGGAAUUACUGGGCGUAAAGCGUGCGCAGGCGGUUUUGUAAGUCUGAUGUGAAAUCCCCGGGCUCAACCUGGGAAUUGCAUUGGAGACUGCAAGGCUAGAAUCUGGCAGAGGGGGGUAGAAUUCCACGUGUAGCAGUGAAAUGCGUAGAUAUGUGGAGGAACACCGAUGGCGAAGGCAGCCCCCUGGGUCAAGAUUGACGCUCAUGCACGAAAGCGUGGGGAGCAAACAGGAUUAGAUACCCUGGUAGUCCCAUG